AAAAAAAAAAAAAGAGUUACAGCGCGGUCUCGACAGGGUCAGAGGCGAGGAGAGCGGGGGGUAUACGAGUGAGGGCGAGGAAGUGAGGGGUACAGGCGAGGCGGCCAUUUCCGCCUCCGCCUUCUUCGAAGAGAAAAAAAAGAAUGCGAGAAAAAAAAAAGAGAGAGAGAGAAAAAGGUACAGGGGUAUUUUGGUCGAUUUGCUGAAAAUUCGGACCGAAUCUACAAAAUCGAAAAAGGUAGCCCACUUUUGCAAAAGCUCAAAACUAGUGGAUUUUGAAAUACUUUUAAUAGUGUAGAUCAAGUCUAACGGAGCCGAUCGUCGAUUUGGAAGCCGCAUCAUCGAAGUAGCACGGGAGGUCCCGUGCUACCGAUAGUAUAGCAGCUGGACUAUAUAUAUAUAUAUAUAUAGUCCGGCUACUAUACUUUUAUGAGUACAAUCGUCUUCGUACUCAUAAGUCCGUUUCGAUGAUAGAACUUUCGAAUUGAUGAUUCAUACCGUUAAACGUUAUCUAGAGCAUUUAAAACUUCUAGUAAUCAAAUUUUAUAAUUUUUCGACAUCAUUUACCUUACGAUCAAAACGUCACAAAACUGACAAUUUUUAACAGCGGGUAUAGGAUACUUGCUAGUUUAACGGUAUAAAAAAAUUCGAAUAGGUUGAAUUUUUGAUAGAAAAUUCUAUUCACUAUCUAGAUAAAGAUCAAUAACUCUAAUCUUAAAUUGAAGGAUCCGAUCAUCCAUUUUAGGACGUCGUUCGAUUUUGACCGUUCAUUUUAUGCCCGUUUGAUAGACUUUAUUAUGAUUUCGAAAAAUUACGAAAUUUAUUUUCUAAAAGUUUCAAAUACUUAGAUCAUAUUUAACGAAGUGGAUCAUCGAUUCAGAAGUUCCAUCAUCAAAAACAACUUAUGAGUACGAAGAGCUCUAUACUCAUAAGAGUAUAGUAGCCCUAUUCUCUCUCUCUCUCUAUAUAUAUAAUCAAUUCAUGUUCGGAUUCGAAGCAGCAACUCGAAAAUUCCCCAGGAAAGAUUCUGUAGUUCUUACUCUUUUUCUUUAUUUUCCUAAUUUUGCAAUAGACAUCAUACACGAAUCCAAAUCCAUUGAGUUUCCGUUUUUAAUAUUCAUUUUCCUAAUUUUGCAAUAGAUAUCAUACACGAAUCCAAAUCCAUUGAGUUUUCAUUUUUAAUAUUCAUAUUCAAAACUAUGUCUGUUUUGCAUCUUAUAAAUUCACUCCGUUCGAAUUCGAAUUCGAAUAAAACUUUAAGUAUCCGUAUCCAUUGACAUCUUU
rnacentral:lncRNA from 1 species